ensembl:lncRNA
AAAAUUCCAAAAAUCAAACUUUUUAAAAUAGGUUGUUUUUUUUGGAUAAAAUACUUAAAAUAUAAAAUAUAUUUAAAAAAUAAUUGCUGUAAAACCCCUUACUUUAUGAAAAAAUAUAUUUUAUUAUUAUUAUUAUAUAUUCAAAAAAUAUAUAUAAUAAAUAACAAAAUAAUAUAAAUAUUUUUUUUUUAAAUAAAUAAAAAUAAAACCAUUCUUUAUUUUCUUUAUGCAAAAUAUAAUUCCUCAUUUCUUUCAUUUGGUUUUUUUUUCUGAUUAUUAGUAUUUUGCAGAACAGACGCCGAUUGAGAAGCACUGAUCUUCAAGUGCGUACUAAAGCGAUAGACUCUUGAAGAGCAGGAGAAAACAGCAAACAGAUUUCGUGCUGAAGUUAUAAAUCCACUCACGUUCUUCAGGCUUUUAAGAUGAUCUCCUCCUCCUCCUCGACCUUCACCCGUCUCUCCUUCUUCUGUUCAAGUCUCCUUAUUGUUUCCUGCUGUCUCACCUCCUUUAACUCUCUCAGCUUCUCCUCCGGCUGUCUGUCUCUGCGGUGAAGAUGACCUCCACAAACUCCUCCUCAAGGUGUAAAUAUAGAGCCACAGCAGGAGCAGUGAUCAAUUCAAAGCAUCCAGAUAGACUUACAGUGAGAUCAGUGGACAGAAGACCUGGAAUGACACAAUGGACCAAUGCAUUGUGGGAAAAGAGAUCUGUGGAAACAAUGCAUCGAGAUCUCAGCAAAAUAAAACUCUCAGAUCUGCAUUAAAGCCUCUGAAGAAGAGAUCAGAUGAGAUCCUGCCGCUCGCGUUUGUCUGCAGUCACAUCAGCAAUCGAUUUGGAAAUGACCCCAGAUAAAGCUUUCCUCACAAGAUAUCUCAAUAAUGUCUCAAACUGUGCAAGUUUGCAGUCAUCUAUGCUUGUAAUUUCCUUAAAUCGGUUAUUGCAGAUAUAUGCCCCCCCACCUGCCCUUCCAAUCCGAUCGGUUCAAGCUCAAUCAGACCGACUGAGGUGUUUACAUGAAGGAUUUUCAGUCAAUUGAGUCAUCAAUCGAAUUAUAAAUGGAUAUAGAAACAUACUGAAUAGCCUUUUCCCUUGAGAAACGCAUCAGAAGAUAAACUGCAUUUCAUGCUGACUUUCACGUAACUCAGAUUAGCGCAGCAAACACUGUCAAACCCGAAAAUGUUAUUAAAAUGUUUUGGUAAAUGCUACAUUGCAGUAAUGACAUGUAUUUCAGUAUGUCUUCCUUUGGUCUCAUGCAUUGUGUGUAACAAAUCAUGCAUUAUACAUUAAUUUAGUAUUCAAAUAAGUUAAAACAGAGACAUAUGACAAAUAAAAAAUAUAAAACUUGUGAAUAUGGCCA